rnacentral:rRNA from 1 species
AUUGAACGCUGGCGGCAGGCCUAACACAUGCAAGUCGAGCGGAUGAAGGGAGCUUGCUCCUGGAUUCAGCGGCGGACGGGUGAGUAAUGCCUAGGAAUCUGCCUGGUAGUGGGGGAUAACGUCCGGAAACGGGCGCUAAUACCGCAUACGUCCUGAGGGAGAAAGUGGGGGAUCUUCGGACCUCACGCUAUCAGAUGAGCCUAGGUCGGAUUAGCUAGUUGGUGGGGUAAAGGCCUACCAAGGCGACGAUCCGUAACUGGUCUGAGAGGAUGAUCAGUCACACUGGAACUGAGACACGGUCCAGACUCCUACGGGAGGCAGCAGUGGGGAAUAUUGGACAAUGGGCGAAAGCCUGAUCCAGCCAUGCCGCGUGUGUGAAGAAGGUCUUCGGAUUGUAAAGCACUUUAAGUUGGGAGGAAGGGCAGUAAGUUUAGACCUUGCUGUUUUGACGUUACCGACAGAAUAAGCACCGGCUAACUUCGU